GUGGGGAAUUUUGGACAAUGGGCGAAAGCCUGAUCCAGCAAUGCCGCGUGUGUGAAGAAGGCCUUCGGGUUGUAAAGCACUUUUGUCCGGAAAGAAAUCCUUUGGGUUAAUACCUCGGAGGGAUGACGGUACCGGAAGAAUAAGGACCGGCUAACUACGUGCCAGCAGCCGCGGUAAUACGUAGGGUCCGAGCGUUAAUCGGAAUUACUGGGCGUAAAGCGUGCGCAGGCGGUUUUGUAAGACAGAUGUGAAAUCCCCGGGCUUAACCUGGGAAUUGCAUUUGUGACUGCAAGGCUAGAGUGUGUCAGAGGGGGGUAGAAUUCCACGUGUAGCAGUGAAAUGCGUAGAGAUGUGGAGGAAUACCGAUGGCGAAGGCAGCCCCCUGGGAUAACACUGACGCUCAUGCACGAAAGCGUGGGGAGCAAACAGGAUUAGAUACCCGUGUAGUCC
rnacentral:rRNA from 1 species